rnacentral:rRNA from 1 species
UACGUAGGGGGCGAGCGUUGUCCGGAAUUAUUGGGCGUAAAGAGCUCGUAGGCGGUUUGUCGCGUCUGCUGUGAAAACUGGAGGCUCAACCUCCAGCCUGCAGUGGGUACGGGCAGACUAGAGUGCGGUAGGGGAGAUUGGAAUUCCUGGUGUAGCGGUGGAAUGCGCAGAUAUCAGGAGGAACACCGAUGGCGAAGGCAGAUCUCUGGGCCGUAACUGACGCUGAGGAGCGAAAGCAUGGGGAGCGAACAGG